CCUACGGGAGGCUGCAGUGGGGAAUAUUGGACAAUGGGCGAAAGCCUGAUCCAGCCAUGCCGCGUGUGUGAAGAAGGCCUUCGGGUUGUAAAGCACUUUCAGUGGGGAAGAAAGCCUUGGGGCUAAUACCCUCGAGGAAGGACAUUACCCACAGAAGAAGCACCGGCUAACUCCGUGCCAGCAGCCGCGGUAAUACGGAGGGUGCGAGCGUUAAUCGGAAUUACUGGGCGUAAAGCGCGCGUAGGCGGUCUGAUAAGCCGGUUGUGAAAGCCCCGGGCUCAACCUGGGAACGGCAUCCGGAACUGUCAGGCUAGAGUGCAGGAGAGGAAGGUAGAAUUCCCGGUGUAGCGGUGAAAUGCGUAGAGAUCGGGAGGAAUACCAGUGGCGAAGGCGGCCUUCUGGACUGACACUGACGCUGAGGUGCGAAAGCGUGGGUAGCAAACAGGAUUAGAUACCCUUGUAGUC
rnacentral:rRNA from 1 species